ACAUGAGGAGAUGAUUCUCCCAAAGCAGCCCUUAUCGGAAAGAUUUCCACUGGGCCGUCUAGAUAACAAGCGGCCCCACCACACCGCUGCAGUCGCCGUGCUCGCGCAUGGAGCUUGGAGGCGGAGGGCGAGGCGGCGGCGACCGGGUCCGGCGGCAGUUGCAGUCGGUGGGGCGGCUGGCAGCGUAUCUCGGCGGCGGUUUCCUCCUCCUCUCCGCCACCUCUUCCGUCGCCGUCCGCGCCCUCCGCGCCAUCUCCGACGCCAACCAGAGGAAGUUCGCGAAGCCGUGCGGUGCCUGCGAGGGGAAGGGCAGCUACUCGUGCAGGCUCUGCAGGGGCAGCGCCACCAUCGAGUGGUCUCCGAUGCACGACCCGGUGUUCGUGAAUCCGUGCCUCUGCCCUACCUGCGAUGGGACUCGGGUGCAGCGCUGCUUGAACUGCCUGGGAAAUGGUUACGCUUGAAGAAGCGAUGUCAGUUUUCAUUAUCGAUGAUAGAUGGUUGUUGGGGAGUUGGGAAGAGAGUGUGGAAUCAACUCAAGCUGAAAGGUUUCUGUUGGGAUUUUGUGUCAAGGCAAAAGAUUGCCGUUUCAACUCAACUCAAAAUGAGAGAUAACGGGUGAAAUGGAAGUGAUAUGCUUCCAUGUAUCCCCUUAUGUGCAAGAGUCCAGAAGUACAAUUUCUAUUUGUCAGGGGAAGCUGUACUCCUAUAGAUGGUUGUUAUGAAGCUCAUCGUGGGCCAUGCGUACAUGCCAAGAUCAUGGUGUCAAGCCGUUGGAUGAUUUCUCCUAUAUGUUAGUUUACGAAAUAGUUGAUUGCAUCUUUGUAGUAUGUAUCUUCUUGGCUGUGUUUAUUCUAACCACAUAACAAUGGUUUGUUUUGCUUCAACUGAAACCGAAGACCUGUCGGGAAAUGAGAGAUGCAGGUCAAUUAAUCCGAUUCUGAUGUCUGUAUCCUUAAUGACCUCUCAUGUUGAAGGAAAACGAAAGAUGCGGGGCUGUACAACUAUUAACACUGACAGCAACAUUAUGUCUUGUUUUCAGACUUCUUACAAGUUGUACAGGCAAGUAUUCGUCGUCGUUGUGCAAGAAUAGUCUGAAGGGUGAUGUCUAGUGCCCACAGAGAGAAUUUAAUAGAGCCAUUCCAUCUGAAAGAUGUCCAGAUAUGUGGCGGGAUGCCCUGUGAAUGAUGUCAGUGUUCUUUCAUCUGACGAACAUCACUUGCAUUUAUGUUUUGGCCCUUUUUUUCUGAGGGUGGAUUUGUUUACGCAACACAAACAAAAAAAAAAUAUACCAUUGUGUGCACUCGCAA